GACGAACGCUGGCGGCGUGCUUAACACAUGCAAGUCGAACGGUAAGGCCCUUUCGGGGGUACACGAGUGGCGAACGGGUGAGUAACACGUGGGUGAUCUGCCCUGCACUUUGGGAUAAGCCUGGGAAACUGGGUCUAAUACCGGAUAGGACUACGCGAUGCAUGUCAUGUGGUGGAAAGCUUUUGCGGUGUGGGAUGGGCCCGCGGCCUAUCAGCUUGUUGGUGGGGUGAUGGCCUACCAAGGCGACGACGGGUAGCCGGCCUGAGAGGGUGUCCGGCCACACUGGGACUGAGAUACGGCCCAGACUCCUACGGGAGGCAGCAGUGGGGAAUAUUGCACAAUGGGCGCAAGCCUGAUGCAGCGACGCCGCGUGGGGGAUGACGGCCUUCGGGUUGUAAACCCCUUUCAGCACAGACGAAGCGUAAGUGACGGUAUGUGCAGAAGAAGCACCGGCCAACUACGUG
rnacentral:rRNA from 1 species